rnacentral:misc_RNA from 1 species
UCAAACUUGGUCAUUUAGAGGAAGUAAAAGUCGUAACAAGGUUUCCGUAGGUGAACCUGCGGAAGGAUCAUUAAUGAACAAGGAGAGGGGGGGAGGAUGUGGGGAGUGUGUCUGUGUACAGCAGUCAUGGUCUUGCAUUGCUCCUCCUACUUUAUGCCCGAUGGCUCUUGGGCCAUCUGGAGCGAGAGUGCGUGAGUGUGGUGUGUGCGAGGUAGGUUGGUGAAAUGCAUGUACAUACGUAUGUGCAUGUACACCACCAUGUCUCGCUAUUACUGCCCGCUCCGCCUCUGCAACAACACGCUUGACGCUUGACUAUGCAAUUAUCGUCAUAUCAUCCACAACUUUUAACAACGGAUCUCUAGGCUCUUGCAUCGAUGAAGAACGCAGC